rnacentral:lncRNA from 1 species
CUUGGUGGCCUUGAGGACCUCAGACUUAACCCGGCCGCUGGAGCCAUCCCGGCGGACUGGAAGUGCACGGGCUAGGAGAGCAAGAAGGACGUGACAGGCGGGCGAACCUGACGUAAUUAGUGAACGAGGGCUAAAGAAAAAGAAGUCAGUAGGUGGAGAUGGGGCACACCUUUAGUCCCAGAACUCGGGAGGCAGAAAGAUCUCUAUUUAUUAUUAUUUUGUCAACAUGUAUGUCUGCACUACGAAAGAGGACACUGGAUCCCAUGAAGCUGCAGUAAUAGACAGUGGUGUCCCUCCCUGAUGAUUGCAUGCCAAGAUGAUCUGGUCUUCCCAUCCGUUGUUGGUAAG